GGACGUGAGGACCAAGGACCCACAACGCCAAAUGGAGCUGCUGGUACUAUACCUCCAGGUACGAGGGAAAAAACCUGAAUAAACAGAGCCUGUGUCUUUUAAAUGGCUUAGCACACUUCUGGUGUGGCACGAAUAAUUAGCACGGUGAGCCACUUCACACUGUUACACAGCAUACCGUAUGUUGGGAUGGUGCCCAAUUGGUGUGGCCCUAAUGAAUGGUGAGAACAUGGCUUGACACGACUGAACUGCAAAAGAGGAUUUGGGGAGCAAAAUCUCUCUCUGAGCAUCAGACAGAUGGCAGAGGUGAAACUGACUGGCUCCAUGCUGCGGGUAUGAUCAGUACUGAUCUUUGGGUCAGCAAAUAUGUCCACUUGAAAGCAAACAACACGUGCAGAACAUCCUGAGCGGAGCAUGGGCUGACCGGGGCAUCUCGACCCUGUUGAAGGACAUCACGCAGGAGGCUGAAGUGAAUGAUUGAUAAGGGAGUGAAUGUGGGUUAAUGUUCAGUUGGCACCACUCUGCAGUCUCCUCCUGAAGUAUUAAUUAGGUAAAAAUUAGUAGCCACACACCCAGACUUGUGACUCCUUUGAAGAAAAAGAGUAUAGAAAUCAAGCAAAUGAAAUUACUCUUGGGGAAUUUCUUAUUGACGCUUAAAGAAGCAACACUGCUACACAGAGUAGACAAAACUCUGCUCGGUGCGCUCGAGUAGGACUGUGAGCCAGAGGGGUCUCCAGGCAGCCAGGGCCUGGCCUCGAGACAGACCAGAGGGCUGAGGAGACCGGACCCGGAGAGAAGAAGUCGUCUAUAGAAUUUGUAAAAAUCACAGCCAAGAAAUCCAGCUCUUUGGAACACACUGGAGUGAGAAAGAUCUAAAGCAGCUCCAAGCAAACUGGGAUGUUACUGUUAGAGAGAUCAGUUUUACGAAGGUCUGUCACUCCUUCCAAAAAAAUAGAGAAGCCCAUCAUCCCACCUCUGGGUAGCAACACAGCCAGCACGAUCCAGAGUGAGGCUGCAGCUUCAACAUUCGCUCUGGGACAUGACUCUCUUCCCAGCAUGCAACCUGCUUGACAGCUAUCCACAAAACAGCAGCCCUACAUGUCCAAGUCCAAAAUCUGUGAUAGUGAAAAUAGGUGCUGCUCCACUGACUGUAAGAGUCGCAGCAACAUUAAAUCUGGUCUCCAGCAUUUGUUUAUACAGGUAAGCUACAUUGAUUUCUUACAAUAUAUUAGCUAUAUAUUAAUCUUCUGGGUGUGUAUAUAGGAGCUGGAUACA